GGAAUGUGGGAAGAGCUUCAGGAAGAGCUCCCACCUCCUCAGCCACCAGCACAUCCACUCUGGGGAACGUCCCUACACCUGUGGGGAAUGUGGGAAGAGCUUCAAUGCUAGCCCCACCCUGAUCCGACACCAGGUGAUCCACACUGGGGCACGGCCCUACAAGUGUGGGGAAUGUGGGAAGAGCUUCAGCCGGAGCUCCCACCUCCGCGCCCACCAGCACAUGCACACUGGGGAACGUCCCUACAAGUGCUUGGAAUGUGGGAAGAGGUUUAAGACCAGUACACAUCUCCUCAUGCAUGAGCAGACACACACGGAUGAGAGGCCCUUCCGCUGCACCGACUGUGGGAAGGGCUUCAAGCGGAACUCCACCCUCGUCAUCCACCGACGCCUCCACACUGGGGAGAGGCCCUACAAGUGUGGGGAGUGUGGGAAGAGCUUCACCAGCAGCUCUGAAUUGACCAAACACGAACGGACUCACUGGUAAGGGAAGCCUGUGCUGACCCUCGACGUGAUACUGCGUUACUGACCAUCGGGUGACGGAUGGUGGUGACGGAGCUUGGCGUAGCUGAGAGCAGUGAGGAAACUGCCUGGGCCCAGACCUGAGAACUACUGACACCUGGAAAUGGUGAGCUGCCAAGAACAAAGUCUAUGAUAAUGGGAAUCAGAUGUCUAAAGAGGAAAAGUUGUUGCUGUCCACUUGGAAGCACUUCCUAAAGCAUAAAAGUGUAUCUGUUGAUGAUUAUGAUUAGCAAUGUUUGCUGCUAUGGUGUCGAAAGCAAGGUUUUGAAGCUAACACAUCAGUUGCAUUUAGAGUAAAGACUUGGGAGAAAGUGGGGAUAAACUGUGGAAAGAGUUUUAUAAGGGUUCUAAGAGUACUAAGGAAGUAGAAGGUUUACCUGCCACCUGGCAUGUAUUGGUUGAGACUUUAAAAGACUGGCUUAAUGAACAAGUUUCAGAAGGUAUUCAGUUGCCUGAAACAGAGCCUCUGUCAGAUACAGAAGGACUCGAAGGGGAGGAGGGAACUUCAGUUGCUGCAGCAUCACUGCCUGCUACCUCCCCCUCUGAUAAUGAACUGCUUCCUUUAGCAGUUAAAAAGAAACAGUGUGGCAUUCGGAUACACAUACAAAAAAAUCUACCAAGAGUCCGGCUCUAAAAACCCCGAAAGGUUUGAAAGUUCACUAUCCUGCACCCCACAAGCCAGUUAAAACUCUUUGUAAAUACAAAUCCCCUACUGCUAUAGUCCCUUACCGGUGUAAGACACCUAUGGAACUUGUGGAGGAAUUUAAAGCUAAGCAAAGGCAAGCGUCCGCUGUUCCUCUGCCAGAGGAGGAGGAGGAGGACGAGGACACUGAUGAAAACAAUGAGGAUGCCCCCCCAGCAGAUGAUGCAGACAGGGAGGAAGCUGAAAAUGCCUCCGUCCUGUACAUAAGGGGUCCCAGAGCCGAAAGACACGAACGCUCUCUGAUCCAUGGACUUUGCCGGCAGUCGCCACUGUCACAGUCAUGCCACGUCAUCCUAGGAGAUGGUGCGUGUACAAGCUGCAAAAAGGGGGGAAUGGGAGUUGUUAGACAAGAUCGGGCACCCCUCACAAGCUAUGAAGGACGUUGCAUUUGUUCCAGGAAUAGAGCCAGGAGUAGAAGCUUAUCCUGUUUUUAAGGCAACUUCUAACUCUGGCAAGCAAGAUGAACAUUAUGUAUUUGCUUGGAAAGCUGUUCAGGAUUUGCAAAUGUAUGUGGCAAAAUAUGGUGUGAAUUCUUCUGAAGUUAUACGUGUGAUUCGUGCAAUUAAUGCUGAUUUGCUCGCUCCUUAUGAUAUUGACCAUCUAGCUCAAGUUUUAUUUGAACCUGUACAAUACGAAGUGUUUAGUUCUAACUGGCAAAAACAGGCUGAAAGAACAACUAUGGAGAAUAUGAGACUUCCUCCAGGGGACCCCAGACUGGGUGUAGGAGUGGAAGCCUUAUUGGGGAAAAUUGUUUUUGUAGCACCAAUUUACAGGCCCAGUGGGAUCCUAUUGUGUUACAACAACGUCAGCAGGUGGGAAUGUUAGCUCUGACUAAAACUAUGGAGCUUGCUUCCCCUCGUCCUAGAUAUACAACAGUGAAACAGGAACCAAGGGAACCUUAUUUAAAGUUUGUUGAACGUAUUGCAGUUUCAUUAGAGAAGCAGGUGGAUGAUGAAGUCCUGCGUCAGGCUCUCCUAAAGCAGUUAGCAAAAGAUAAUGCAAACGAAAAUUGUCAGAAAAUUAUGGAUGCGUUGCCAGGAGACCCGUCUGUGGCUGAUAUGUUCCAAAGUGGGUACUGUGGAUCACCAAAUGACUGCCCUUGCUGCAAUUUUGCGUCCUACCCCGCGAUGCUGUAACUGUAAUAGAGAAGGACACCUUAAAGCUGACUGCCCUGAUUAAAGCAACAGGGAAAAGCCAAAGGUCUACCUAAUCCUCCUGGUAUUCAUUGUAACCGCUGUGGGAAGCUAGGACACUGCUAAACGUGGCUCUAAGUUUCAUGCCAAUGGGCAGCCUCUCCAGGGACACGGGAAUGCCAGCGCGAGGAGGAGGCGCGCUCAGACACGAGUACCUUCACUGCCACAGUACAACCCGUAUGCACCCCCCCGAUGCUCCCCCCUGCUACCAGCUCACAGGGAAAACCAGCGGAGCAGCCAGUAUGGAUGUGUCCACCUCUGCAACAGUAACAAUUUCUUCUACAGAUAUUGUCAAGGUUCCCUUAAGGGACCUAUCGGACUGGACUGAGUGCUUUGUUAAUCGGGUGCUCAAGUAGCACAAUUUCUGGGAUAAUUGUACAUGUUGGGGUAAUUGAUGCAAACUAUACAGGACAAAUCUGUGCCAUGGUCUCUACCCCCUACCCUCCUGUUACUAUUCCAAAAGGAACUCGAAUUGCUCAACUUGUGCCUUUUGUGAGUUGUGUUCCCAGGACAGAGAACCAGGAGAGACAUGCUAGAGGAUUUGGAUCAACAGGACCUCCACAAGUAUAUUGGUCACAGACUAUUUCACACAAACGUCCACAGAUGACUUGUGAACUGCAUAAUGGGAAAGCUUCACCUUCUGCUGUUAAGGUGACUGGAUUACUCGAUACCGGUGCUGAUAUAAGCAUCAUCUCCAUGUAUAAUUGGCCAAGCUCUUGGCCUCUGGUGUCCUCUGAUUCAGGUGUUGUGGGGCUGGGGGGAACUACACAGUGUUACAUUGCAGCUCAUUUCAUCCUGAUUUGUAAUGGAUGAUAUUCUGUUCUCGGCAAAAAGAAACAUUGUCUGCAGUUGCAAAUGCAGCUAAAGAAUCGCUUCAGUCUUUUGACCUUGUCAUUGCAGCAGAGAAAAUACAAACUGCAGACCCUUGGAAAUAUCUGGGCCUCCUUGUCACUAAAAGAGCAGUAAGGCCUCAGCCUAUUCAGUUACAAUUGCCUAUCAAUACCCUAACUGAUGUUCAAAAAUAAGCAGGUUCGUUAAAUUGGUUAUGCCCUUAUUUGGGGUUUACAAAUUCACAACUGCAACCUCUUUUGGCACUGCUCAAACAUUCCACAGAUCCAUUGGAACCACGAUCCUUAACUCAGGAAGCAGUUCAGAUCAUUCGGCAGGUAGAAACAUUGUUAACAGAACGAUUUGUUUCUCACAUUGAUUUGUCUCAAAUUGUUCAGCUUUUUGUUCUCAUAGAUCAGAACUUCCCCUGUGGGAUCCUUGUUCAGUGGAACGAGGCCUGGGACGAUCCUCUACACAUUCUUGAGUGGUUGUUUUUACCCUCAAGAUCUCAGAAAACAGCACCUGGCCUGUUUGAACUUCUUGCUGAGAUUAUCAUGAAAGCAUGAAAAUGGUGCAUUGAAUUAAUUGGCAGAGAUCCUAGUUGUAUUGUUUUACCUGUACAAUCCUGGUAUUUUGAGUGGUGUUUGAAUCACAAAUAUGAAUUGCAAGCUGCUAUGGCAGAUUUUCAGGCACAAAUUGCUUAUCAUUUACCUUCACACCCUUUACUGAAAUUUUUUAGUGAAGUACCUGUUGGACAAAAGCUGCUGUCAUCUACGGAACCAGUGGAAGGACUCACUCUUUUUACAGAUGGUUCGGGGAAAACAGGAAAAGCUGCUGUGGUCUGGUGUACACCCACAGGAUGGCAACAUGAACUUGUUCAACAAUCCGGGUCUCCACAAGUUGUGGAACUCCGUGCUGCUACUUUGGCAUUUCAACUUUUUCCUCAGCCUUUUAAUCUUGUUACAGAUUCGGCUUGUGUGGCAGGACUUGUACAGCGUUCAGAUCAAGUAGUUCUUUCUGAUUGUGAUGGUCGUCUCCUCUUUCAGGUUUUGUUAAUAUUGUGACGAACUCUACAGUCUCGUACUGCUCCUUACUUUGUUUUUCAUAUUCCCAGUCACACUUCACUGCCUGGAUUUUUUACUGAGGGUAGUGCUCGAGCAGACUCUCUCGUAGCACCUGCACAGAUCGGGCCUGUUCCAGACAAGCGACAACAGGCUCUCCUCUCACAUCAGUUUUUUCACCAAGGCAGUACUGCUCUCAAGCGACAGUUUGGCGUUACACAAUCCCUUGCUCGUUCUAUUGUGGCUGCCUGUCCUGAUUGCCAGGGUCAGAAUGUCCCUGUCUAUUAUGGAGCCAAUCCUAGAGGAUUGCAAGCUUUACAGUGUCAUGUCAACCCGUGACCGCUCCUGCUCCCGUUCAGGUACAGGUGUCUGGACAGUGGUCUGGCCCUCAUCAACUGAUAACCUGGGGAAAGGGUUACGCUGUGUCUCUGCAGAUGAUGGACCAUGGUGGGUUCCUGCUCGGUGUGUGUGUCCUUUUUUGCCUGGGGGGAACCGGCAGUGAUGACUCCUACGCGGAACAGCUCGAACGACUCAGCCCGUGGAACAGCCACAACGUCUGGGUGACCGUGAUGAAAGCACUGAACCAGACUACCUUCUGUGCCUCCCUGGUGAAACCAGAGCUACCUUUUCACACAUGCCUUGUUGGGGCACCUGUAAAUAACUCUGAUGCAGUGAAACUUGUUUCUAAUGUUACACAAUUACCUGAGGUAGCAACAAAGGCUUGUAAUGCUUCUGCGCAGAGCUGCAUCGCAAAUGUAAACGACUGGCAUUUCGGGUUGGUUACUGUCCUUACUCAAAACGGGGGUUGGUUAGUUUUGAUAAUAGUCGUGGUUGUGCAGGUAAUGUUACCAUGUAUUGUGUCGUGUUUGCAAAGGGCCCUGCAAAAGAUGACACAGGGAAUAUUUCUUGCACAAUUACAGAAAGGGGGAAUUGAUGGGGUUAAUAGCGGGUCUAUUGGCUCCCAGGAUGGAGAUAUUGACUGGGAAAAGUUUCGGGUGUAUCCUUGAUGAUAAGGAAGUCAGUACGCAGCCCUAAUGGAGAAAACAAAGGGAAACUGUAAAGUUGGUAGGCCUAGGAUGUGGGAACUGCAAUAAGGCCUUGAGCUUUGCCAAAUGUAUCGCCCAUAGAUCCUAGCCAAUGAAAACGCUGUUGCUUGCUUACCCAAAAUACGGAUACUGCUUGCUGCUAGCAAGGGGUAUAAAAAAGCAGAUGAGAAAAUAAAAGGAAGACAUCUUUCCUGCA